AGUAAAACCAUGCUUGGGAUGUGAGUCUGCAGAUUGUCGGAGUGAGGAGAGCUGAUUGCUUUGAUAGCCCAAACCUUGAAUUCCUGAUUGCCAGUUAGCUGCUUCACCGAAGGUUUUGCUGUGGGGAUUUCCGGCCAGACUUCCAGAUUGGUCUUUGGUGCUGAGUAGAUCGACGUUAUGUCUUUUCAACGAGUCAAUCGACGAUGAUUCCGAUACGAUGUGUCCAGGGAGUCCAUUAUUCCUUUCAAACAACUUCCCAUUCAGCACUUACUUGAACAAUUGAAACAUCUCAUCCUUGGUGAUAUAGCCGUCGUUAUUGAGGUCGUAAACCCUGAAGCAGAACUCCAUUUUCUCCUUUUGAGUACCACGGAGAAAAACGUCCAGUCCAAGGAUCCAUGCUUCCAAUCGUAUCGCUCCUUCACUUUCCCGGUCCCAGCAACAAAACAUCCGUUCGAUGAGGGCAUCCUCCGUUAUUAUAUCAAAGCUGUCAAAGCAGCGCUCUUGGUAUUAGCGUCGUCUGGCAUCCUUCUGCGUUGCCGAGGAGCGGCGUCGAUCGCCGACGAGGAAGAGUUUACGAUCUUGGCUCGUUUGGACGCCACGGAGACUUUGCGACCACUUGCAAGGAAAAUUGAGACGCUUCGCAUGACCAUCGCGCCUCCCCGUCCCGUCAUGGAGGUGUGGGCGCCGGCGCCGACUUGUGAAGCACCACCCUCCGCAUCCGAAGGAGCAACCUUUGGCGGUGCCCCCGACGAAGU
rnacentral:misc_RNA from 1 species